rnacentral:rRNA from 1 species
AACGAACGCUGGCGGCAUGCCUAACACAUGCAAGUCGAACGAGACCUUCGGGUCUAGUGGCGCACGGGUGCGUAACACGUGGGAACCUGCCCUUAGGUUCGGAAUAACUCCCCGAAAGGGGUGCUAAUACCGGAUAAUGUCUUCGGACCAAAGAUUUAUCGCCUUUGGAUGGGCCCGCGUUGGAUUAGCUAGUUGGUAGGGUAAAAGCCUACCAAGGCGACGAUCCAGAGCUGGUCUGAGAGGAUGAUCAGCCACACUGGGACUGAGACACGGCCCAGACUCCUACGGGAGGCAGCAGUGGGGAAUAUUGGACAAUGGGCGAAAGCCUGAUCCAGCAAUGCCGCGUGAGUGAUGAAGGCCUUAGGGUUGUAAAGCUCUUUUACCCGGGAUGAUAAUGACAGUACCGGGAGAAUAAGCUCCGGCUAACUCCGUG